rnacentral:tRNA from 1 species
AAGGGAGACCUAAUUCAGGUAGGAGACGAAAAAAAAGUAGUCGCUACCAAGAAUCAAUCCCAAAAGGUCGGAGCGAGGCGAAAUUGGCUUUCAAACUAGGUUCUGGGUUCACACAAGACCUGAAUCAGGAACAAGGGCUAUUAGCUCAGGUGGUUAGAGCGCACCCCUGAUAAGGGUGAGGUCCCUGGUUCGAGUCCAGGAUGGCCCACCUGUACAGGUGGCAAAAAGAAAGAAAAGAAGCGAGGAAUCAGCACCUUAUCUUACUGACAUAGUAAGAGAGAAUGCUGGCUCUGAGUAAAGAGUCCAGAGGAACCUUGAAAACUGCAUAGAGCUAGGUGAAAAAGCCAAAAAAGGGGACCGCAA